CCUACGGGAGACAGCAGUGAGGAAUAUUGGUCAAUGGGCGUAAGCCUGAACCAGCCAAGUCGCGUGAGGGAUGAAGGCUCUAUGGAUCGUAAACCUCUUUUAUAAGGGGAUAAAGUGUGGUACGUGUCCUAUUUUGUAUGUAUCAUACGAAUAAGGAUCGGCUAACUCCGUGCCAGCAGCCGCGGUAAUACGGAGGAUCCGAGCGUUAUCCGGAUUUAUUGGGUUUAAAGGGUGCGUAGGCGGUUUGUUAAGUGAGAGGUGAAAGACUGGGGCUCAACACUGGAAUUGCCGUUAAUACUGGUGAACUAGAGAGUAUUUGCGGUAGGCGGAAUGCAUGGUGUAGCGGUGAAAUGCUUAGAGAUCACACAGAACCCCGAUUGCGAAGGCAGCCUACCAAGCCAUAACUGACGCUGAUGCACGAAAGCGUGGGGAUCAAACAGGAUUAGAUACCCGAGUAGUC
rnacentral:rRNA from 1 species